rnacentral:lncRNA from 1 species
AAAAUGGUACUUUGUGACUAGACAUUUCCAAAAUAUGGGACAGAAAAGAUAAACAAAUGCUUUGCUAGCUUGCAGCAAUUUAGUAGACAGAAAGUUCCAAGUGGGUAAGUGUCUAUCAAAUUUUAUAACAUUUUGAAGAAAAGCAUAUGAUCCAAUGAUCCAAGUAUAGAUGCAUGAUUGCAUGUGGGAAUAGUUAGCUAGCUACUUGGCUUUUCACUUUUGCACUAUGCAUGCACCAAAAUUAUACCUACGAUUCCAUUUUAAAAGAGAGAAGCUCUUUUGAGUUUGAAAAAUUCUCAUGUAAUUCAACAAUUUUUCUUCAAUAGUUUGGGACUACUAAGUAGUUCGGAAAACAAACUAUGAUGAUUGACAAACAGUAAAGAUUGUUUAAAAAGUCAAACUAAUUGGUAGGUUAAACUACUGAAGAUAAACUCAUAAAUGAGAUUAUUCAUUUUUUAUUUUUCUUGCUCAUCAAUUGAUUAUUGUCUCAUGCAUAACUUGAUUCCUGUUGAAUAACCUAUGGAGUAAGGGAUGAGUGUAAUAUGCAUAAAUUCGUAUUUAAUUUUUUUUCGCUCGUUAGUUGAUCAUAGUCUCACACACAACUUCAAAUCUUCGAUCCUUGUCAAGUUAUGGGGUGAAACUACAAUAUCCCAAACUAUUGUAUACAUAGAUGAGGCAACGAGACAAUCUCU